CACGUAGGGUGCGAGCGUUGUCCGGAAUUAUUGGGCGUAAAGAGCUCGUAGGCGGUGUGUCGCGUCGGCCGUGAAAACCUGCAGCUUAACUGUGGGCUUGCGGUCGAUACGGGCAUCACUGGAGUUCGGCAGGGGAGACUGGAAUUCCUGGUGUAGCGGUGAAAUGCGCAGAUAUCAGGAGGAACACCGGUGGCGAAGGCGGGUCUCUGGGCAACAACUGACGCUGGAGGAAGCGAAAGCCGUGGGGAGCGAACAGG
rnacentral:rRNA from 1 species